CCUACGUGAGGCAGCAGUGAGGAAUAUUGGUCAAUGGGCGCGAGCCUGAACCAGCCAAGUAGCGUGAAGGAUGACUGCCCUACGGGUUGUAAACUUCUUUUAUAAAGGAAUAAAGUGAGGCACGUGUGCCUUUUUGUAUGUACUUUAUGAAUAAGGAUCGGCUAACUCCGUGCCAGCAGCCGCGGUAAUACGGAGGAUCCGAGCGUUAUCCUGAUUUAUUGGGUUUAAAGGGAGCGUAGAUGGGUUGUUAAGUCAGUUGUGAAAGUUUGCGGCUCAACCGUAAAAGUGCAAUUGAAACUGGCAGUCUUGAGUACAGUGGAGGUAGGCGGAAUUCGUGGUGUAGCGGUGAAAUGCUUAGAUAUCACGAAGAACUCCGAUUGCGAAGGCAGCUUACUAAACUGCCACUGACAUUGAUGCUCGAAAGUGUGGGUAUCAAACAGGAUUAGAUACCCCGGUAGUC
rnacentral:rRNA from 1 species